rnacentral:misc_RNA from 1 species
GAUGAAGAACGCAGCGAAAUGCGAUACGUAAUGUGAAUUGCAGAAUUCAGUGAAUCAUCGAGUCUUUGAACGCACAUUGCGCCCCCUGGUAUUCCGGGGGGCAUGCCUGUCCGAGCGUCAUUGCUGCCCUCAAGCACGGCUUGUGUGUUGGGCCUCCGUCCUCCUCCCGGGGGACGGGCCCGAAAGGCAGCGGCGGCACCGCGUCCGGUCCUCGAGCGUAUGGGGCUUCGUCACCCGCUCUUGUAGGCCCGGCCGGCGCUUGCCGACACAUCAAUCUUUUUUCCAGGUUGACCUCGGAUAAGGUAGGGAUACCCGCUGAACUUAAGCAUAUCAAUAGCGGAGGA